GGUGCCUAUAAGGAGCACUAACUAUAGCCUGGGGCUGGUGCUCCCACCCUACAGCACCUUCUACCUCCAAGCCAACCUCAGCGACCAGAUCCUGCAGGUCAAGUUGCCAAUCAGCAAACUGAAGG